AACAAACGCUGGCGGCGUGUCUUAAGCAUGCAAGUUGAGCGGCAAGGAGGAGAGAUCCUCCCUAGAGCGGCGGACUGGUGAGUAACGCGUGGGUAAUCUAUCGUAGGCAUGGGGAUAGUCACUAGAAAUAGUGGGUAAUACCGAAUACGUUCCAUGAGGGGAGUAUUCAUGGAAGAAAGGGUGCUACGGCACUGGCCUUAGGUGAGCUCGCGUCCCAUUAGCUAGUUGGUGAGGUAAAGGCCCACCAAGGCGAUGAUGGGUAGCCGGCCUGAGAGGGUGUACGGCCACACUGGGACUGAGAUACGGCCCAGACUCCUACGGGAGGCAGCAGCUAAGAAUAUUCCGCAAUGGACGAAGGUCUGACGGAGCGACGCCGCGUGGAUGAAGAAGGCCGAAAGGUUGUAAAGUUCUUUUGCUAGGGGAGAAUAAGUGAGGGAGGGAAUGCCCUCAUGAUGACAAGGACUAGCGAAUAAGCCCCGGCCAACUACGUGCCAGCACG
rnacentral:rRNA from 1 species